rnacentral:misc_RNA from 1 species
GAAAUGCGAUAACUAGUGUGAAUUGCAGAAUUCCGUGAAUCAUCGAGUCUUUGAACGCACAUUGCGCCCCCUGGUAUUCCGGGGGGCAUGCCUGUCCGAGCGUCAUUGCUGCCCAUCAAGCACGGCUUGUGUGUUGGGUCGUCGUCCCCUCUCCGGGGGGGACGGGCCCCAAAGGCAGCGGCGGCACCACGUCCGAUCCUCGAGCGUAUGGGGCUUUGUCACCCGCUCUGUAGGCCCGGCCGGCGCUUGCCGAACGCAAAUCAAUCUUUUUCCAGGUUGACCUCGGAUCAGGUAGGGAUACCCGCUGAACUUAAGC